CGGGUUGUGAGAGCAAGAGCCCGGAGAUGGAUUCUGAGACAUGAAUCCAGGCCCUACGGGGCGCAGCAGGCGUGAAAACUUUACAAUGCGGGAAACCUUGAUAAGGGGACACCGAGUGCCAGCAUCCUAUGCUGGCUGUCCAGGUGUGUAAAAUACACCUGUUAGCAAGGGCCGGGCAAGACCGGUGCCAGCCGCCGCGGUAACACCGGCGGCCCGAGUGGUGAUCGUGAUUAUUGGGUUUAAAGGGUCCGUAGCCGGUUUGGUCAGUCCUCCGGGAAAUCUGACAGCUUAACUGUUAGGCUUUCGGAGGAUACUGCCAGACUUGGAACCGGGAGAGGUAAGAGGUACUACAGGGGUAGGAGUGAAAUCUUGUAAUCCCUGUGGGACCACCUGUGGCGAAGGCGUCUUACCAGAACGGGUUCGACGGUGAGGGACGAAAGCUGGGGGCACGAACCGGAUUAGAUACCCGGGUAGUCCCAGCCGUAAACGAUGCUCGCUAGGUGUCAGGCAUGGCGCGACCGUGUCUGGUGCCGCAGGGAAGCCGUGAAGCGAGCCACCUGGGAAGUACGGCCGCAAGGCUGAAACUUAAAGGAAUUGGCGGGGAGCAC
rnacentral:rRNA from 1 species